AAUCAACGCUGGCGGUGUGCCUCAGACAUGCAAGUCGAACGCGAAAGUUUCCUUCGGGAGACAAGUAGAGUGGCGCACGGGUGAGUAACACGUAGGUAAUCUACCUUUGGAUGGGGAAUAACAACCGGAAACGGUUGCUAAUACCGCAUAGUGCAGCGGCACCUAAUGGUGACAGUUGUUAAAGCGGGGGAUCGAAAGACCUCGCGUCUGAGGAGGAGCCUGCGGCGGAUUAGCAGUUGGUAAGGUAAUGGCUUACCAAGGCUACGAUCCGUAACCGGCCUGAGAGGGCGGUCGGGUCACACUGACACUGACAUACGGGUCAGACUCCUACGGGAGGCAGCAGUCGGGAAUUUGGGCAAUGGGCGAAAGCCUGACCCAGCAACGCCG
rnacentral:rRNA from 1 species